GCGAUGAGGAGAGUCCGGGAGGCGGGCGGCGGUGACGGCCACUCAACACUGGGAGCUUCGAGCCCCCAACCACGGCUAACGCGUUCCACAAAGCAUGACAUUCUGGCCCCCAGAGGUCUUACAGCUUCUUCCAUUUAUUGAAUUAUUACCAUCCAUCCCAUGAAUGCGUACAAGCCUGCUUCUGCUUGCCGAUAUCACAGCUACAGGAGUGUCAGCUUUUUGUGACACUGCUGUUUCUAGAACUGCGACAUGGGUCUUCAAGUUAGUUUCUCCACCCAAACUAGCAGUGGCAAGGAGACAAGAAUCAUCAAGUAAAUCUGGGGACAGAAGCACCAGACCUGCAGGGAAAUUUCAUCUUCGGCUGUUUGAACAACAGCAUCAUCCACCUGAAUGUUUUUCCAUCUCGGUUCCACAAAGCUACCACUUCGAACAACGUCAACAGGAGAACAGGGGCUCCUUUACUUCAUUAUCUGAGUUAUGUUGUAACCAGUCUUCACAUCCCUGCUUUAUGGUGGCCACUGCUAUCACAAAGGAUAGUGGAAGUCCACUGGAAUUUGGACUGGUAGGUGUAUCAUCAAUCAUAAUCUGAACCAAAAAUGUAAUAAGAAAAUAAAAGUUUGCCACUCUUCUAAA